rnacentral:rRNA from 1 species
GACGUAGGGCGCGAGCGUUGUCCGGAUUUAUUGGGCGUAAAGGGCGCGUAGGCGGCGCCACAAGUCACUUGUGAAAACUCUGGGCUCAACUCAGAGCCUGCAAGCGAAACUGUGGUGCUGGAGUAUGGGAGAGGUGCGUGGAAUUCCCGGUGUAGCGGUGAAAUGCGCAGAUAUCAGGAGGAACACCGGUGGCGAAGGCGGAUCUCUGGGCCAUUACUGACGCUGAGGAGCGAAAGCGUGGGGAGCGAACAGG